rnacentral:rRNA from 1 species
UACGUAGGGCGCAAGCGUUGUCCGGAAUUAUUGGGCGUAAAGAGCUCGUAGGCGGCCAGUUGCGUCUGCUGUGAAAUCCCGGGGCUCAACCCCGGGCGUGCAGUGGAUACGGGCUGGCUAGAGGCAGGCAGGGGAGAACGGAAUUCCUGGUGUAGCGGUGAAAUGCGCAGAUAUCGGGAAGAACACCCGUGGCGAAGGCGGCUCUCUGGGACGGUACUGACGCUGAGACGCGAAAGCGUGGGGAGCGAACAGG